rnacentral:rRNA from 1 species
CCAAUAGCGUAUAUUAAAGUUGUUGCAGUUAAAAAGCUCGUAGUUGAAUUUCGGGGUCAGUAGGCUGGUCGUGCCACUGGUAUGUACUGGUCUCACUGAUUCCUCCUUCCUGAUGAACCGUAAUGCCAUUAAUUUGGUGUUGCGGGGAAUCUGGACUGUUACUUUGAAAAAAUUAGAGUGUUUAAAGCAGGCUAACGCUUGAAUACAUUAGCAUGGAAUAAUGAAAUAGGACGAUCGAUCCUAUUUUGUUGGUUUCUAGGAUUGACGUAAUGAUUAAUAGGGAUAGUUGGGGGCAUUAGUAUUCAAUUGUCAGAGGUGAAAUUCUUGGAUUUAUUGAAGACUAACUACUGCGAAAGCAUUUGCCAAGGAUGUUUUCAUUAAUCAAGAACGAAAGUUAGGGGAUCGAAGACGAUCAGAUACCGUCGUAGUCUUAACCAUAAACUAUGCCGACUAGGGAUCGGAUGAUGUUAAUUUUUUAAUGACUCAUUCGGCGCCUUACG